rnacentral:rRNA from 1 species
ACAUAGGGUGCUAGCGUUGCUCGGAAUUAUUGGGCGUAAAGGAUGCGUAGGAGGAUUUGUAAGUUAGAAGUGUAAUUCCUGAGCUUAACUCAGGAUCUGCUUUUAAUACUACUUAUCUAGAGGAAGAUAGAGGAUAGCGGAAUUCUUAGUGGAGGGGUGAUAUCCAUCGAUAUUAAGAGGAACACCGAAAGCGAAAGCAGCUAUCUGGGUCUUUCCUGACUCUGAGGCAUGAAAGCGUGGGGAGCAAACAGG